rnacentral:rRNA from 1 species
UGCCUAACACAUGCAAGUCGAACGGGGAUACUUUAGUAGUAAUACCGAGGUAUUCUAGUGGCGGACGGGUGAGUAACGCGUGAGCAACCUGCCUUUCAGAGGGGGACAACAGCUGGAAACGGCUGCUAAUACCGCAUAAUAUAUUUGGACGGCAUCGUCUGAAUAUCAAAGAUUUAUCGCUGAAAGAUGGGCUCGCGUCUGAUUAGCUAGUUGGUGGGGUAAGAGCCUACCAAGGCGACGAUCAGUAGCCGGACUGAGAGGUUGAACGGCCACAUUGGGACUGAGAUACGGCCCACACUCCUACGGGAGGCAGCAGUGGGGAAUAUUGGUCAAUGGGGGAAACCCUGAACCAGCAACGCCGCGUGAAGGAAGAAGGCUUUCGGGUUGUAAACUUCUUUGACAGGGGAAGAAAAAAAUGACUGUACCCUGAAAACAAGCCACGGCUAACUACGUGCCAGCAGCCGCGGUAAUACGUAGGUGGCAAGCGUUAUCCGGAUUUACUGGGUGUAAAGGGCGCGUAGGCGGGCAUGCAAGUCAGAUGUGAAAUCUAUGGGCUUAACCCAUAGCGUGCAUUUGAAACUGUGUGUCUUGAGUGAUGGAGAGGUAAGUGGAAUUCCUAGUGUAGCGGUGGAAUGCGUAGAUAUUAGGAGGAACACCAGUGGCGAAGGCGACUUACUGGACAUUAACUGACGCUGAGGCGCGAAAGCGUGGGGAGCAAACAGAGAUUAGAUACCCUGGUAGUCCACGCUGUAAACGAUCAUAAUGGAUGUGGGGGGACUGACCCCUUCCGUGCCGCAGUUACCACAAUAAGUAUUCCACCUGGGGAGUACGAUCGCAAGGUUGAAACUCAAAGGAAUUGACGGGGGCCCGCACAAGCAGUGGAUUAUGUGGUUUAAUUUGAAGCAACGCGAAGAACCUUACCAGGGCUUGACAUCCAACUAACGAAGCAGAGAUGCAUUAGGUACCCUUCGGGGGAAGUUGAGACAGGUGGUGCAUGGUUGUCGUCAGCUCGUGUCGUGAGAUGUUGGGUUAAGUGCCAUAACGAGCGCAACCCUUGUCAUUAGUUGCCAUCAGGUCAAGCUGGGGACUUUAAUGAGACUGCCACCGUAAGGUGUGAGGAAGGGGGGGAUGACGUCAAAUCAGCACGGCCCUUAUGUCCGGGGCGACACACGUGUUACAAUGGGAGGUACAGAGGGCAGCUAUCCGGUGACGGAAUGCUAAUCUCCAAAACCUUUCUCAGUUCGGAUUGGAGUCUGCAACUCAACUCCAUGAAGGUGGAUUCGCUAGUAAUCGCGCAUCAGCCAUGGCGCGGUGAAUACGUUCCCGGGCCUUGUACACACCGCCCGUCA